rnacentral:misc_RNA from 1 species
CUUCGAAAUUCACUUUGUUCUUGUCUCGCAGUUUCCUUCACAAGAUUGAUCUUAACGUUGCGCGAGACACAUUUUUUUGUAUUUUAUCGCUUUUACAGUUCGGGUUCUAAGUUAUUAUGACCAGUGGACAAUGCUGCGUUCCAAAAAGGAUGUAGAUCGCCACGUGCGAGAUAUUUUGAAUAAAAUCAAGAGCGAGGACGAGAGAAAAGUUCGGGGUUAUAACAUAGCUCGCCUCUACUUCAACAUCAAUGAGUAUGAGAGUGCUCGUCGUUACCUGAGUGAGUUCCUAACAGUGCGCCCCAAAGCAGCAGAUGCUCAUCGAUUAUUAGGCCAAAUCAAUGAAGGUCUUGGAAAUAAAGAAAAAGCAGUACAAUCUUACAAAACCUCCUAUGAGCUAGGUGGUGGCCAAAAGGACCUCAUUUUGAAAAUUUGUGAGUUGUAUACAGAUGUCCAGUGUGACAAUUCAGUACGUCUGUAUUGGGCAGAAGAAGGCCAUAGGCUCUAUCCUCACAAUGAGAGUGUUGUCAAGUUACGUGAGGCCCUUCUCACGGGUUCAGGUGCACACUCACGGGAGGAACUUGAAAAAUUAUACCUAGAUGAAAUUAAGGCUAAUCCAACAGAUGUUAGACUCCAGACCAACCUCCUACAGUUGUAUAAAGACUGGGGAGCUGAAGAUAAAAAUAAGCUCAAUGAAGCCUACAAUUAUGGGUGUCAGGUGGAGGCACGAAAGCCAUUUUCAGAAUCACUGGAAUGGUAUAAAACUCUUUUUGAUAUCAUGCAGGAGUACCGUUCAACCGCUGAUGUUAGCAAGGAAAAAGAAUUCCACAUCAAUUAUUUGUCUGCCCAGGAGCGACUUGUCUACCUCACUUUGGCCUCAAGCAGCAGUACUGCACUCCUGUCCCAGUGCACCCUCACAGAUGCUGCUGCACUCCUACACAAGUUUGAUCAAGAUUUGAAGAUCAGUUUAGAAGUGGUGGAUCAAAAUUCUUCUUUUGGUCAAAUGAUGGUGGGCCAGUUGUACCUGCAUAUGGCUAUAUUCCUUUUACAAAAUGCAAAGAAGGAUGGCCUUACUCACACAAGUACCAGUGCGGGAGCAUUGCUGUUUCAUGCAUGCAGAUUCAGGUCAUCUGAAACUGCCACACAGUCCAAGUCGUGGAGUUCGCGAGAUCAGUUCUGGUACAAAUUAACCUGUCACAGACUAUCUCAGGCUGCUCAUGUCCUGAACCACAUGGCCAAAACUGAAUCUGAAAAGAAUAAGUUUUUAAAUAAAGUGAAACAGCAGUGCAGUAAUAAGCAAGCACAGGAGAACAUCUACCUAACUUUGUUUGGAGCUUCCAAUGCCAACAAGAAAGAGAGUAGCUUUUUCCUCACUGAUGAACAGUUUAUCUCAAAGCCCCUAACAUAUCCUGAAGCCGAGCAAGUAAAAGUCUGGGAUAACGUUGUAGGAACCAUGUACUGCUCAAGUUUGCGUGACAUGGUGUGGUUGUGUCUGCAGCAAGCUCCAUCCAGGUUUAAACAACCUCAGCCCUAUUACACAUAUACGUUGUUUGAAGGUCUCCAGUUUUCCACGACAAAUGUCAACACAGGGGCUCCAGAAACCCUGUGCCAUCUUGAUCUCCUGGCUUUCUUGGCUGCAACUGUGUAUUGCCAAAUUGCAGCUGCAAAAGAAAACAAUGGUCCUCCUCCAGCCUCCAUGCCGACAGUGGUUGCAUCAGUUCUGAAUACUACAGAACAAGCAGAGUGGUGGACCGCUGCCUACACACUGUUUACCAACCGUGCUCACCAUAGGCUUAGUAAACUGCGUAUGAUUUUGCAGCGAGGUCUGGAGGUCAUCAGAGCUGUAGGCAACCAUGGUGUUGACUUGGCUCUUAUGGCACAUUUGGCACAAUGCUUUUCCACCUGGGCAACAGCGGCCAAAGAGGAUGGGAGUACAGCAAGUGAAGUAGAUGCCCUGGAGGACCGGGCAGAGCACUACUGGCAUCGAGUGCUCACACUUUGCCAGAGGGCUGCACGGAAUGUCAUUAAUGUUACACCAAGGAAUAGACUUUUUGUUGUACAAAACAUCUCUCUGAGUGCAGAGGAACGCUCCAAGGUUGAGGAGGAAGGAAAGUACUUCCUAGCCAUGAGACUGGUGCAGGCAGGGAAGCUGCAGGAAGCCAUACAAGCUCUGGGAGAAUUAAAGAGUCCUGAAGCAUCAUUCCAGAGGGCAAUGUUGUAUAAAGAACAAGCCCAAACUAUUACCAGUGAGGGUGGAGUGGAAACCAUGACAGCCGACAUGCGUUCACAACACACCAUUCUGCUGACGCAAGCAAGAGACACACUUUAUCUUACCCUAGACAGAUUGCGAAUGCCAGGUGUAGAUCGUUUUCAUCCCCUCAACACCAAGCUGAGUCAGCAGUUGGAGGAUGUUGAGAGGCGUCUUUCACACAUAAGUGUGGACCAGGAUACCCACAUUCAGCGAGAGGAUGAUACCGAAUCUAUUUCAGAUGCCUCCCAGUCACCCCGACCUGACUUGGCUAAUGGCCAUGUUAUUAAUGCAUCUCAACCUCCACAGAUGUUUAGUACUCCCUAUAGGGAUAACAGAAAUAGUAGCAGAAUAACUAGACAGGAGGCCCGUCCAAGUCCAGAGCGUCUGGAUGCACAAGUGAGAGCUAUCUCAGAGGUUCAAGAAAAUACAUUGCGGAACAUGGAGGACACACUGAGGAAUAUGGAGGAACAGAAUGCAGCGCUGAGAGCCCAGAAUGAAGCUCUUAGAGACACAUGCGCUACAAUGGCACAAGAGGUCAAGGAAAAUGCUUCCUUGUUCCGUAGUAUCUUAGAGCAGAACAAAAGUAUCUCCCAGGAAGCAUAUAAUGCUGUACUUAAUGAAAUGAAACAAGUUCAAAUCAGUAUAAAAGACCUGCAGACUCAAGUUCAUAGCAUAGCAGUCGAUGUUGGAGAAUUGAGAGCCAUGAAAGCAGAUGCAAAGCAUACUGAAGCUGUUGAAGCAAAGGCCAGUGAAGAACAGGUAGCUGCUGCAGCAGUAGUACCAGCUGGCAUAUACAGUGGUUACAUGGGAUACUACAGUCAGCAGCCUGUACCCAGCCCUCUGAUGCCAACUCCAGGGCUCUUUGGCAACCCUCCAUUCUUCCCACCAUCCACUCUCCCUGACCAGACAUACAGCAUGCCAUCAAGUGUUAGCCAGGUGACAGCAGCAUCCAGUCUAAGCCAGACAUCUUCAAUAGUGACCCAAGCUCUUGGCUCCCCUGCUAUUGUCACUGCUAAAGAGCCACUUCCAUCACCCUCUGGAAUCACUGUUGCUCAGAGUCUUGCUACAACAAACUUGGGUAAUGUGAGUUGGAGUGUGGCACAGGGCAUUAGUUCUUCAUCUGGCACCACCAGCAGUGCGCAGAUAAUGCCUCCUGUUACCAGUGCUCCUCAUGCCUUCCAGAUUACAAUGCCAUCUGUGUCUGCAGCUCUGACACCACCACCUGCCUCGGCACCCGAGGAGCAGCUGUCAAUCACCCUUCCAUGCUCCGCUACGGGUCUCCUGGCCAACAUACCCGCCCCCCUGUACUCAGCAGUCACUCCUGACUCGUCCCCCCAACGAGGCCAGUCACAGGUUAAAUCACUGUCACCGUAUUUGUCAACGAGCGGCUUGUCUCCCGCAGCCAACAAUCUGGAUGCUCCAUCUGCCUCGUCUGGUUCACAGGACUGCACAAUCACAUUUUCAGGGACCUUUAAGAGUCCUGGAGGCAUUACUGCAAUAGAAUCACCUACCCCAAAGGCUAAGGAAACAACAGAUGAUGAUAACGAUCGGUAUGUGGAGGACGAUCACGACCCAUGCCCAGAUUUCAAGCCUGUUAUUCCAUUGCCAGAGAAGGUGGAAGUACGCACAGGGGAGGAGGACGAAGAGGUAUUGUUUGAAGAGAGAGCUAAGCUCUUUAGAUUCGUAGAAAAGGAAUGGAGAGAGCGUGGAACAGGUGUUAUGAAGCUUUUGCACAACCCUGCCCAGGGCUCAGUGCGUGUUCUAAUGAGGAGAGACCAGACCCACAAGAUCUGUGCCAACCAUCUUGUCUAUUCUAAUAUAGACUUGCAGCCCAUGAAAGGAAAUGACAAAGUUUGGAUUUGGGCUGCACAGGAUUAUGCUGAUGAAGAAUUACGCAUGGAGAAGUUCUGCUGUAGAUUCAAAACACCUGAGAUAGCUACAAGCUUUAAGGAUGCUUUCAUGAAAGCAAAAGCCAUUACCAAGGAGAAUGAAGAUAAGUUGGAGGCACAGCAGGGCUUUGGAGAGAGAAGCAAAACAGCUUACCAAGGAAUUGCACCAGCAAGCACAGGAAAAUCUCUUGCUGAUAUGUUCAAGCCAGCUGCAGGAUCCUGGAGCUGCUCCGUCUGCCUGGUGAACAACACUGCAGAUAUGACCAAGUGUGCUGCUUGUGAGACUCCCAAUCCCAAUGCUCCCAAGGCUGAGGAACCUGCUGCACCUCAGACACCUUUCGGUUUUAUCCAUUCCCCUACAGCGGCAUUCAAGUUCAAAAGCCCCACAAAUACCCCAGGGUCGUCAGCUGCAUCUCCAGAUAAGCUUGGCAUGGCAUCAACUCCUAACACUUCUACUUCUGCUUCUGCCACAGGAUUUGGCUUCAGAUUUGGCUUGGACAACUCAAAGGCAACUGUCAGCCCACUGGUCAGCUCAGCCCCAGCUUCCUCCAGUGCUGCAUCAACUCCUACCACCAGUGCGGACACAGCCAAGGAUGCUGUUAAGUUCUCUCUUAGUGGUUUCACCUUCACCACCACACCCACUUUGAAGCAGGAUAAGGUGGAAGUCCCAGAGAAGCCUAAAGAGGAGGAGAAGAAAAAGGAAUCAAUAUUUGCAAGCUUCUCCUUUGGGUCCAGUCCCUCUUCAGGCCCAGCAACUUCAAGCUUCAAUUUCAGUGUGCCAACAAAAGACGGCAAGACCGAUGGAAGUCUUGCAGUGUCUAGCCAGUCAUCUGGGGAUGGAGGAUUGUUUAGCAACAAGUCAUCAAGCAACUUGGUAUCCUUCAGCACUUUAGCUGCCAACACUAGUUCUGCAUCAUCAAAUGUGUUUACCAUUAAGGACACUAAAGCUUUUGAGCCAAAGGCUUUGUUCGGAGGUUCACAAGCAAAGUCACCAAGUAAGGAUGAUGGUGACGAUAAAGUAGAAGAAUAUGAACCUCAAGUUGACUUCCAGCCAGUUGUUCCUUUGCCGGACUUAGUUGAGGUUAAGACAGGCGAGGAAGAAGAAGAGAGAUUAUUCUGCGAGCGAGCAAAGCUUUUCCGCUUCGAUAAGGAUACCAAAGAAUGGAAGGAAAGAGGAAUUGGUGAAUUAAAGAUCCUGAAGAACAACACAACUAAAAAGAUUCGUAUUUUGAUGCGGCGUGAGCAGAUCCACAAGGUGUGCGCCAAUCACUUCCUUACACCAGAGAUUAAGCUGACACAAAUGCAAACAUCAGACAAGGCAUGGAUUUGGGCUGCACAUGAUUUUGCAGAUGAGGAAAUGAAAGAAGAGAAGUUUGCUGCCAGAUUUAAGAACCAAGAAUUGGCAUUGAGUUUUAAGGCAGCAUUUGAGAAGGCUCAGAAGUCUUUAGAGUCUCUCCCUUCAGACACCACAUCAAGCUCAGAUGCUGCAUCAACUCAAGCAGCAAAAACUACCACCAAUUCAUUAGCUGCUAUGUUUAAGCCAGCAGCGGGAUCCUGGGAGUGUGAUACCUGCUUGGUGCGAAACAAAGCUGAAGAUAAUGUUUGUGUUUCAUGUUCGAGUAACAAACCAGGCUAUGAACCAUCAAAAGAGAGCACACUCCAAACACCCCAAUUUAGUUUUGGGAUUCCAUCUUCAACAACUGCAACAAAAGAAUCAGCAAAGAAUGAGGAAAAACCUAACAUUAACUCUUUAGCAAGCAUGUUUAAACCAGCAGUUGGUUCGUGGGAGUGUAAUAGUUGUUUGGUGCGUAACAAAGCAAGUGAUUCCGUAUGUGUUGCAUGUAGUGCUGGUAAGGAUGGUAUUGCUCCCAGUGCAGAUUCUUCUACUGGUGAUACACCAGCUUUCAGUUUUGGCAUCAAGAGUGACAUGUCUUCAACCACGAGUGGAUUUAGCUUUGGUGUAGCAGAAAACAAGACAGCAUUCUCAUAUGGUAUUCCUGCCACAAACCAGAGUGUGACCUCCACAACCUCUCAGCCAGCAUUUUCUUUUGGCACCAGUGCAAAACCUGCACAAGACAACACAGAUAGUAAGCCUGCCUUUUCAUUUGGAAUUCCAGGCAGCAUAACAAUAAAACCUGUGCAAGAUUCUACUGUUGCAACAGAGAGUAAACCUGCCUUCUCCUUUGGAAAACCUGGAGAGCAAACCAGCAAGACAUUCAGCUUCUCUUGGUCAACAACAACCCCAGCCAGCAUUGGGUCAGCCUCUACAGCAGGCACUUCAGCCUUCUCUUCAUCAACCUUUUCACAGUCUAAACCAGCAGGGUCACAAGAACAACCCUCAACACCAACCAAAGAGGAAAAUUCUGGAUUUGUCUUUGGUAGCCCUGGAAAAUAUGAGUUCUCAUUCACUGGAGUAAAAGCUCGAUCUCCCAGGUCAAGGGAUAUCAGUCAGUGUGAAUCAGAAGAUGGUCUAGUGGAAGAGGAUGAAGGAGACCAUCUUUAUUUUGAGCCUGUGAUACCACUGCCUGACAAAGUUGAUGUAGUCACUGGAGAAGAGGAGGAAUCUUGUCUUUACUCUCAUCGGUGCAAGCUCUUCCGUUUAGUCAGUGGAGAAUGGAAGGAACGAGGUAUAGGAGACGUCAAAAUCCUAUGCCAUAAGAAGAAUGGUAAAAUCAGGUUACUGAUGAGGAGAGAGCAGGUUCACAAAAUCUGCAUGAACCACUACCUGGAGAAUGACACGGAAUUCCGCAAGAAGGAUGAUAAGACCUUCUUCUGGGCAACAGUUGAUUACACUGAAAGUGAAGCACAAAAGGAAACUUUUGCUAUCCGUUUCAAGACACCAGAGAUUGCAGCUGAAUUUUAUAAGGCAGUGGAUAGUGCUAAGGUUCAGUUAGGGGGAACUCCAACAGAAUGUCCGGUGACAAUAUCAAGUCCUGUAAAAUCAGAAGAAACAAAGAAAGAAAAAUCACCUGAAACGCCUCAGAGUAAGAACACACCAACACCAGCUUCUGUAAAAGCUGAAGCAGAUACUACAUCAGAGGAAGUCACAAGCAAGCCAAACAACUCUAUCUUUGGAGGAACACCUAGCAAGACAGUGUUUGAAGAAACAAAAGGCUCUGUAUUUGGGGUUGGCACUGAACCGUCUUUCGUCACUAAUGUGUCAGCUACCUUCACGUUAAGAAGUCCUGAUCAGCAGGGAAUGUUGAAUGCAGCUGGCAGGCCAUCUGUGUUUGGAGCAGCAACUACAAUGUCUACAACUCCUAGAAGCACCUUCAGCUUUGGAGACAAGUUCUCCUUAAACCCUGAGGCUGAUGCAGACUGUGAGGUGGUCUACAUUAAGAGCAGUAAUGAGGAGGAGAAAUGCCAUGCCAAGGCACUAAUGCUCCCUGAGAAUUUCUAUAGUUACAAUGAGCAUCCAAGCUGUCCAGGCUGUGUUGGCUGUGAGGCAGAUGAUGAUGAUGAUGAUAACAGUGAAGAUGUGGUGGAGGUAGUUUUUGAAAGGAAAGCUACACCUGAGCAAGUACAGAAAGCUAGAACACUGCAGCUGCCUGACAAUUUCUAUUUGUAUGAAAAUGCCCCUACUUGCCCAGGCUGCCGGGGCUGCUGUGAAGAGGAUGAAGAAACAGCAGACAAAGUGGAGCAAACGGUAUCAUCUGCAUCUACUCCAGCAAACACUGCUUCCACAUCAUCCAUGUUUGUUGGAACAAAUGCAGGGCCUUUCACAAAUGCAGUUUUUGGAAAAGCUCAACCAAAGUCUCCAAGCAUUUUCGAGACCCCAAAACUCUUCGGGGGUAGUACUGGAGGAUCUAGUCUUUUUGGGGGUGCUGCGAACUCCCCAAGUGUGUUUGGAGGCUCCACGGCUACAAGUGCUCCCAGUGUGUUUGGAGGCUCCACAGCCACAAAUGCCCCUAGUGUGUUUGGAGGCUCCACGGCUACAAAUUCUCCCAGUCUGUUUGGAGGAUCCUCGGCUACAAAUUCUCCCAGUCUGUUUGGAGCCUCUUCAACUACAAAUUCUCCCAGUGUAUUUGGUGGUUCUGCUGCCAGCAGUUCACCCAGUACAUUUGGUAGUUCUAGUGUCACUAGUGGGAGUAUAUUUGGAGGUGGUGGUGGUAGUGUAUUUGGUGGGUCUGCUGGUUCAGCAGGUGGACUCUUUGGCAAUGCCAAGACCUCAGGAUCACCAAGCAUAUUUGGUAAUGUUGCUGUAUCAUCAACGGAAAGUACUACAUCAAGCACCACCUCAAAAGCAUCAACAGAAGGGGGAUUGUUUUCCACUAUCAACAGUGGAAGCAUGUUAUCAUUUGGAGACCUAGCCUCACAAUCUAAUGAAAGUGGAUUUGGUCAGAAAAGCACAGCAGCAGUAGAUGCAAUUUGGGCUGCCAAAGAACAACCAGUAUUUGGGAAAACUAUAAAGAAGACUGGGGAUGAUGAUGAUGAUGUAGUUGAAAAUGAUCAUGAUCCCCACUUUGAACCUGUAGUACCUUUACCUGAUUUGGUUGAAGUGAAAACUGGAGAGGAGGAACUAGAAGUAAUAUUUAGCAACCGUGGCAAGCUGUAUCGCUAUGAUGGUGGUUCCAAACAGUGGAAAGAGAGAGGCAUUGGAGACUUCAAAAUCCUGCGUGACCCAGCUUCAAAUAAAUUCCGCUUACUACAAAGGAGAGAACAGGUCCACAAAUUGUGUUGCAACCACUACCUAACUACUCAGCUUCAAUUGCGACCAAUGGAGACUUCAGAAACAGCCUGGUGCUGGUAUGCCAAGGAUUAUUCAGAGACCAUAGAAGGCACAGACGAGAAGUUGGCAAUCAGAUUUAAGACAAGUGAGAUGGCUGCAGAAUUCAAGAAGAAGUUUGAAGAAAGCCAAGAGAUACUAAGGAAAAAUGAAGAUGCUGCUGCAGGUAGCACAAACACAUCUGCCACAUUUGUCCUUCCACAUCCCAGCAGUUCUGUUCAAAAAGAUGAAGAUGCAGAUGAAGAUGAUGAGGAAGAUGAUGACGAGGAUGAUGAGGAAGAUGAUGAUGACGACGAUGACGAUGAUGAUGACGACGAUGAAGAUGAUGAUGAUGAAGAGGAAGAGGACGAUGAGGAGGAGGAUGAUGAUGAGGAUGGAGAUGAUAAUGUAGUGAUUUUUACCAAGAGAUGCACCUUGUCUAAAAAAGAAAAUGGUAGUUGGACGGUAAGCACAUGAAAUAUACAUGUUGAGAGGAUCAUAGACAGUGAUUAUCAACACAGCACCAACUGCACUUGGUGCUGGGGAUCUUCACAUCCAGUACGAUGAUGACUUCUUUGGGGCGAGGAUCAUCAUGACGUCAGAGUCUGGAGAUACCCUUGCAGAACAUAUUAUAGCUAUUCAAACUACAGUGCACAAAGAGGGCAAUUC